rnacentral:rRNA from 1 species
UACGGAGGGUGCAAGCGUUGUCCGGAUUUAUUGGGUUUAAAGGGUGCGUAGGCGGCUUUGUAAGUCAGUGCUGAAAUAUCCCGGCUUAACCGGGAGGGUGGCAUUGAUACUGCAGAGCUUGAGUGAAGUCGAGGUAGGCGGAAUUGACGGUGUAGCGGUGAAAUGCUUAGAUAUCGUCAAGAACACCGAUAGUGAAGACAGCUUACUAGACUUCAACUGACGCUGAGGCACGAAAGUGUGGGGAUCAAACAGG